ACAGUGAACGCGAGCAUCUGUGGCCAAGUUUUUAAGGGCGCACGGUGGAUGCCUUGGCACCAGGAACCGAUGAAGGACGUGGGAGGCCACGAUAGUCCCCGGGGAGUCGUCAACCAGGCUUUGAUCCGGGGGUUUCCGAAUGGGGAAACCCGGCAGUCGUCAUGGGCUGUCACCCACCGCUGAAUAUAUAGGCGGUGUGGAGGGAACGCGGGGAAGUGAAACAUCUCAGUACCCGCAGGAAGAGAAAACAACCGUGAUUCCGGGAGUAGUGGCGAGCGAAACUGGAUGAGGCCAAACCUCAAGCGUGUGAGACCCGGCAGGGGUUGCGCUUGGGGGGUUGUGGGAUCUCUCUUUCACAGUCUGCCGGCUGUGAGACGAGUCAGAAACCGUUGAUGUAGGCGAAGGACAUGCGAAAGGUCCGGCGUAGAGGGUAAGACCCCCGUAGUCGAAACGUCAGCGGCUCGUUUGAGAGACACCCAAGUAGCACGGGGCCCGAGAAAUCCCGUGUGAAUCUGGCGGGACCACCCGUUAAGCCUAAAUAUUCCCUGGUGACCGAUAGCGGAUAGUACCGUGAGGGAAUGGUGAAAAGUACCGCGGGAGCGGAGUGAAAUAGUACCUGAAACCGUGUGCCUACAAGCCGUGGGAGCGUCGGACAUCAAGCUUGCUUGGUGUCUCGUGACUGCGUGCCUUUUGAAGAAUGAGCCUGCGAGUUUGCGGUGUGUUGCGAGGUUAACCCGUGUGGGGAAGCCGUAGCGAAAGCGAGUCCGAAUAGGGCGAAUGAGUAGCGCGCCCAAGACCCGAAGCGGAGUGAUCUAGCCAUGGGCAGGCUGAAGCGGAGGUAAGACUUCGUGGAGGGCCGAACCCACCAGGGUUGAAAACCUGGGGGAUGACCUGUGGUUAGGGGUGAAAGGCCAAUCAAACUCCGUGAUAGCUGGUUCUCCCCGAAAUGCAUUUAGGUGCAGCGUCGUGUGUUUCUUGCCGGAGGUAGAGCACUGGAUAGGCGAUGGGCCCUACCGGGUUACUGACCUUAGCCAAACUCCGAAUGCCGGUAAGUGAGAGCGCGGCAGUGAGACUGUGGGGGAUAAGCUCCAUGGUCGAGAGGGAAACAGCCCAGAGCAUCGACUAAGGCCCCUAAGCGUACGCUAAGUGGGAAAGGAUGUGGAGUCGCAGAGACAACCAGGAGGUUGGCUUAGAAGCAGCCACCCUUGAAAGAGUGCGUAAUAGCUCACUGGUCUAGUGAUUCCGCGCCGACAAUGUAGCGGGGCUCAAGCGUACCGCCGAAGUCGUGUCAUUGCAGUACAUACCCCCAACGGGGACUGUGAUGGGUAGGGGAGCGUCGUGUGCCGGGUGAAGCUGCGCCGGAAGGCAGUGGUGGACGGUUCACGAGUGAGAAUGCAGGCAUGAGUAGCGAUACAUACGUGAGAAACGUGUGCGCCGAUUGACUAAGGGUUCCUGGGUCAAGCUGAUCUGCCCAGGGUAAGUCGGGACCUAAGGCGAGGCCGACAGGCGUAGUCGAUGGAUAACCGGUUGAUAUUCCGGUACCCGCUUUGAAACGCCCAGUAUCGAGCCCAUUAAUGCUAAGGCCGUGAAGCCGUUCCGGACCCUUCGGGGAAAGGAAAGUGGUGGAGCCGCCGACCCAAGGUGGUAGUAGGUAAGCGAUGGGGUGACGCAGGAAGGUAGUCCAGCCCGGGCGGUGGUUGUCCCGGGGUAAGGGUGUAGGCCGUGUGAUAGGCAAAUCCGUCACACAUUGAGGCUGAGACCUGAUGCCGAGCCGAUUGUGGUGAAGUGGAUGAUCCUAUGCUGUCGAGAAAAGCCUCUAGCGAGUUUCAUGGCGGCCCGUACCCUAAACCGACUCAGGUGGUCAGGUAGAGAAUACCGAGGCGUUCGGGUGAACUAUGGUUAAGGAACUCGGCAAAAUGCCCCCGUAACUUCGGGAGAAGGGGGGCCACACCCGGUGACGAGUUUUACACUCUGAGCUGGGGGUGGCCGCAGAGACCAGCGAGAAGCGACUGUUUACUAAAAACACAGGUCCGUGCGAAGCCGUAAGGCGAUGUAUACGGACUGACGCCUGCCCGGUGCUGGAACGUUAAGGGGACCGGUUAGCUCCAUUUCGGUGGGGCGAAGCUGAGAACUUAAGCGCCAGUAAACGGCGGUGGUAACUAUAACCAUCCUAAGGUAGCGAAAUUCCUUGUCGGGUAAGUUCCGACCUGCACGAAUGGCGUAACGACUUCUCGACUGUCUCAACCAUAGGCCCGGUGAAAUUGCACUACGAGUAAAGAUGCUCGUUUCGCGCAGCAGGACGGAAAGACCCCGGGACCUUUACUACAGUUUGAUAUUGGUGUUCGGUUCGGCUUGUGUAGGAUAGGUGGGAGACUGUGAAGCGGGCACGCCAGUGUUCGUGGAGUCGCCGUUGAAAUACCACUCUGGUCGUGCUGGAUGUCUAACCUGGGUCCGUGAUCCGGAUCAGGGACAGUGUCUGAUGGGUAGUUUAACUGGGGCGGUUGCCUCCCAAAGGGUAACGGAGGCGCCCAAAGGUUCCCUCAGCCUGGUUGGUAAUCAGGUGUUGAGUGUAAGUGCACAAGGGAGCUUGACUGUGAGACUGACGGGUCGAGCAGGGACGAAAGUCGGGACUAGUGAUCCGGCGGUGGCUUGUGGAAGCGCCGUCGCUCAACGGAUAAAAGGUACCCCGGGGAUAACAGGCUGAUCUUCCCCAAGAGUCCAUAUCGACGGGAUGGUUUGGCACCUCGAUGUCGGCUCGUCGCAUCCUGGGGCUGGAGUCGGUCCCAAGGGUUGGGCUGUUCGCCCAUUAAAGCGGUACGCGAGCUGGGUUUAGAACGUCGUGAGACAGUUCGGUCCCUAUCCGCUGUGCGCGCAGGAGUCUUGAGAAGGGCUGUCCCUAGUACGAGAGGACCGGGACGGACGAACCUCUGGUGUGCCAGUUGUCCUGCCAAGGGCAUGGCUGGUUGGCUACGUUCGGAAAGGAUAACCGCUGAAAGCAUCUAAGCGGGAAGCCUGCUUCGAGAUGAGGACUCCCACCCACUUGAUGGGGUAAGGCUCCCAGUAGACGACUGGGUUGAUAGGCCAGAUAUGGAAGCCUGGUAACGGGUGGAGUUGACUGGUACUAAUAGGCCGAGGGCUUGUCCUCAGUUG
rnacentral:rRNA from 1 species